AUGGCUGUCGUCAGCUCGUGUCGUGAAAUGUUGGGUUAAGUCCCGUAACGAGCGCAACCCUUGUCCUUAGUUACCAGCACGUAAUGGUGGGCACUCUAAGGAGACUGCCGGUGACAAACCGGAGGAAGGUGGGGAUGACGUCAAGUCAUCAUGGCCCUUACGGCCUGGGCUACACACGUGCUACAAUGGUCGGUACAGAGGGUUGCCAAGCCGCGAGGUGGAGCUAAUCCCAUAAAACCGAUCGUAGUCCGGAUCGCAGUCUGCAACUCGACUGCGUGAAGUCGGAAUCGCUAGUAAUCGCGAAUCAGAAUGUCGCGGUGAAUACGUUCCCGGGUCUUGUACACACGCAU
rnacentral:rRNA from 1 species